CGGGUCUUGUACACACUGCCCGUCAAGCCAUGGAAGUUGUUUCUACCUGAAUAGGGUGAGGCUAACCGCAAGGAGGUAGCCUACACGGUAAAAUAGUGACUGGGGUU
rnacentral:rRNA from 1 species